GUAGGAAAGCUCUCCUAUAUAAAGAGAAUUGCCUUCGAGUCAUGGAGACUCAAACAAAGAGUCUGAUAUAUACGAUGGAAGGGAUGAGAUAGGUGAGAUUAGCAGGGGGCAAAACGGCACGAGAAAGGGCCAAAAGGAAGUAAGAGUAGAGUUGGAAGAAAUAAGAGAAGAGUCGAGCCAAACUAAAAGAGGAAACUAAUAUAAUCUCUCUGCAGAAUGCUGCGCGCAAAGCAACAUCGUCUAGAUCUGAAACAUAAGAUCAAGCAGAAGUUGGUUUGCUGCACUCUGCUGGGAGAUUAGAUUAGUUUCCUCUUCUAGUUUGACAGCCUCUUCUCUUAUUUCCUCAAACUUCUCCCUGACUUCCUUUUGCCCCUCUCUUAUGCGUUUUUGGCCCCCGCUAAUCUCACCCAUCUUGUUACCUUUUUUCAUCAGACAGGAAACCAGAGAUUUAAAAUGGCGUGCUUAAUUUUUGUCAUCUUGGUUCUGAAGCUGAAAUUCCAUUUCCAUAAUCACUAAUUAAUCAGGCAUAAUAAUCAAGAACAACAGGAGAUGUUCGCCCUGAUGGGACGGAAAGGGAAAGCGCAGCAGGUGGAGAAAAGAAGACUAAUUUUCCGUGAAAGCAAUGUUUUCGAUUUGGGUUUACUUCCCGUAGAAUGACCGAGAAGAAGGAGAAUGGACUCUGGCAAAAGGUCAAUGCAGAGGCACAAUUCCUGGAAGCUUUUCUCCUUUUUCCUUCAAGGGCGCCUAUUGUCAACUCCAGCCAGCUAUUCGCUGAACAAGUGAUAACACAUGCCCAACUUGUUCAGAAAGACUAAAAGCAAGGGAGCAGUCCAAUUGGGCUGCUAAUAGCAACAAGAGACAAAUGAUCCACAAAGCAACAAAAAACUCUACUGGUGUAUCGGUAUAAACAUGCUGUUGUCACACAUCUUACCAUAUUUCGGACCUUAUAUUGUGUGAACGUCCGGCAGAAAGUUGAAUUCAGAAUAGUUUUUAUUUUUUUUAAUUUCCAAUCAUUAUACAAGGUAUAUUACUCCCCUAACAAAUGUUACAAUGAGUUGUUUCCUUGUUAUGUUGUUAAGAAGAUUAGGUUUUGUUC